rnacentral:lncRNA from 1 species
AUGUUUAUAGGAACCCCCUUAUCUGCUAAGGAACCAGAGGAUAAAGAUGGAAAGACAAGAACUGCUGGGGCCAUUUUGCUGCUAGGAUGGAAAGAGCUCAAGGAGGAAGCCAAUGCGAAGAGACGUGUGCAGCUAAGUGGAUCCCAGUCUGAGGUCUGGAGAAGGAGGUCCCGAAGAGAGGAGGAGAUUCAUUGCUUGAGGUCGCACAGAGCUCGAGGCAGAGUUGGGAAGAAAACUCUGUACCCACCAUGUCACCCAGGUCCCUUUGCCGAUUAACCACUGGCCACGGCACUGAAGCUCCCACGUUCCCUCACUUCCCUCCAGAGGGCAGAUGCCACCAUUAUUGCCAUUUUUCCAGAAGGAGGAAAGAGCUGUACCAAAGAGCUUAAGUCACGUAUUCUCGGACUGUGUGGGGGAUGAUUGAAGAUCUUUCAGCAGACACUUCGGUGUGACCUGUGAAGAAGCAGAGGUGUCCCCCGAGCCCCCCUUCCCAGUCUUGCUGGCUGGGCCUGCCGUCAGAGUUCGGUUCUGUCUGCCUGGAAGCCAUCCUCUCAUGCGAGGUGCUCGCCGGAGUGCUUGAGGAUGGAGCAGGGCCAGGCCAAGCUUGCGAAACAGAUUUAAGGCGAGGGUUUUGUGCCUGCUUGGCAAUAGUGCUGCUUGUUUAGCAGAAUUUGAUCUCAGACUUGCUGCCAUGGUAACGGGCACCUGUCAGUGAGCUUGUGCAGGGCUGCCUUACCUCUGAUCUCCAGAGAUUGCUAUUGUCUCCCAGAAGCCCUGACAAUUGCCUAACUACCCGACAGGACAGCCGAGGGCAGCUUGAAACUGCCCCAGGUCACAUGGCUGCUAGGUGGCAGUGCUCACAUAAAAGAUGUCAGCAAGGCACUCAUCUUUCAUUUUUUAUUUACUUAUUAAAUAAAAGGUAUUUAUUAGCACGGCA